rnacentral:rRNA from 1 species
AGGAUUAGAUACCCUAGUAUGAAAAUUAAUUUAAAUUAUUAUGAGAAGAAAUUUAAAUUUUUUGGCGGUAGAUUUUAUUUAGAGGAGCUUGUUUAAUAGAAAUUACUCUUUAAAUCUUAAAAAUUUUUGUUUAUUUAUCUCCGUUAAAAAUAGUAAGUUAAUUUCUUAUAAUCAGGUCAAGAUAUAGCAAUAAUUUUAAAAAAUUAGCUACAAUAAUAGGAAUUAUUGGAUUAAAGGAAAUAUUUUUUGAUGAAAUUGAAUUUAAUUGUAAUUUAAUUUAAAAAGAUUAAAUGAACAUUAAAAAUUUAUGUACAUAUUGCCCGUCACUUCUUUAUAAAGAAUAAGUCGUAACAAAGUA